rnacentral:rRNA from 1 species
UACGUAGGGUGCAAGCGUAAUCGGAAUUACUGGGCGUAAAGCGUGCGCAGGCGGUGAUGUAAGACAGGUGUGAAAUCCCCGGGCUUAACCUGGGAACUGCAUUUGUGACUGCAUCGCUGGAGUGCGGCAGAGGGGGAUGGAAUUCCGCGUGUAGCAGUGAAAUGCGUAGAUAUGCGGAGGAACACCGAUGGCGAAGGCAUCCCCUGGGCCUGCACUGGACGCUCAUGCACGAAAGCGUGGGGAGAAACAGG